ACAAAAGAUGUUAAAUUGACCUUCCUCAGUAUAGCCAAUAUCAAAAUUAAUUUGAAAUAUUGGAAUGUAUAAUGUGAAAGCGCCUGCUUGCAUAGGUAUGAAUUUCUUCCAUCAAUUUUGAGUUGUUCAGGAUGCCACGUCUCAGAGGACCUUCUUAUUUACUUGAAAGUUAAAUGUAGAUAGGAGAUCUAGCAAGGAUUAAAGAAAGUUAGCAGGUUGACAUUGAUGGCAAUUUUUCAAAUAUAUCCUGGGAUAUGCAUCUCUAAGGGUUGUACCUCCAUACCAUCUCUUUUGUAUCUCCACAUCUCUAAGGGAGGGGUCGUUUGGUUGGGAACAAGUUAUCCCAUGAUAAGUUAUCUUGGGGUUAGCUAUCCUGGGAUAACUUAUCCCAUCACUAUGAUAUAAAUGGUGGGAUAAGUUAUUCCAAACAUGGCAACCAAACAAGAUAAAUUUUUUUUAUCCCAUCACUAUUAUUUUUAAUCCCACACACCAAACGGCCCCUAAGUGUUACACGGUGACUCUAGAAUUUCUACAUGCCAUAUUUGUUUCCCAGUUAGUAUCACAUCCAAGACUCUAUCUUCAGUGUCCUACUAUUAAUAAGACUGUUUUGAUUCUCAUAAAACAUUUCAAAUGAAUUUGUUUUCAUAGUUUAGGAAAUCAAGUCAUUUGAGCAUCCUUUAGUUACUUUGGUAUACCAGAGUAAAUGACAAAUAAUUUUAGAUUUCCGUGGAUUGUUUGUUUUUAUACUUAAUGAUUUUUGUACUGUAUAUAUCAUUUAAGAAUUGAAUGUGUUAAAAGGCCUGGGCAUCUAACCCGUAAGCUAAAGGCAACAUGUAAGUAGUUCAUGACAUUCAUAACCCUUUUGGAAUCCAUUACACUCAUGCCGGACAAGUAGCGUGUGAAAAUCCAACCCAUUAGAAGCCCUUCGACUAUUCAUGUGUGAAAACAAUCUGAGCAUCUAAUCCAAGAAGUUAAGGCAACAGGUGGUGUAGCUCAUGACAUUUAUAAACUCUUUUGGAAAUUCUUACACUACUCAUAUGGGAUAACUAUAUGGCUCAAUAUGUCUCGCAGGUCUAACCAGAUUUUGGUUUACACAUGAAUUUACUGUGAACUUACUAGUAUUAGGGUUUGGUUUGCCGAAAAUUGAUUUUAGUCUAAUGAGAAAGAAUUUGAACAUCCGACCUGAAUUUAUAAGAGAAGUGCUUGGUUCAUCACAGGCAGAAGUGGAAAAGGAACACAUUUCUUCUGUCUCUCUGUGUCUAUUAGAAAAAACCAUAGCAUGUAUAUUCUGCUUAAUUGUCCUACAUUCACCAUGCACCUCUUUGGCUUGUUUAUGAUGUAUCAAAAGAUGGAAAACCAUUUAAAUGGCCUCUGCUUGAAGAAAUAUUCCUCCAUCACUAUUAAGGUGCCUUUUUUUUUCCGACACAAUUAUUGAGUGAAGAGUUGAAGUUCAAUCAUAUUUCCAAUGAAAGUGGGGAGUUACUUUUGAAGAAUCUAGAACCUUCUAUUUAGUUUAGUUGCGCGGACUGUUCACUUCUGGUGCUGCACCUGUGUCAACACGACAUGGGUGCGGGAUGCAUUACCGGAUAUGGUCAAUUGAUUUAGGGUACUUCGACCACAAUUGAUUGAUAAAUUCGAGACAUGUAGAAUGAUUUCUGAAAUCAAAUUAAACGCUUGGAUGAAAUCACAAUUUAGACAUAUCAUUUUUUAUCAAUAAAAUUUAAAAGAUAUUUGUAUUAAAAAUGUCUGCAAUCACAAGGUGGUUUAAAGAACUUACCGUGUUCAACUUUUGUGCCUGCAGCAUAUUACAGUGAUAUCUGUGUAGGUUCAAUAGCAUGUCGCCUUGAGAAGAAGGAAAGUGGG
rnacentral:lncRNA from 1 species